AGUGAACGCUGGCGGUAGGCCUAACACAUGCAAGUCGAACGGCAGCACAGUGAGAGCUUGCUCUUACGGGUGGCGAGUGGCGGACGGGUGAGGAAUACAUCGGAAUCUACUUUUUCGUGGGGGAUAACGUAGGGAAACUUACGCUAAUACCGCAUACGACCUACGGGUGAAAGCAGGGGAUCUUCGGACCUUGCGCGAUUGAAUGAGCCGAUGUCGGAUUAGCUAGUUGGCGGGGUAAAGGCCCACCAAGGCGACGAUCCGUAGCUGGUCUGAGAGGAUGAUCAGCCACACUGGAACUGAGACACGGUCCAGACUCCUACGGGAGGCAGCAGUGGGGAAUAUUGGACAAUGGGCGGAAGCCUGAUCCAGCCAUGCCGCGUGGGUGAAGAAGGCCUUCGGGUUGUAAAGCCCUUUUGUUGGGGAAGAAGAGCAGCAGGUUAAUACCCCGCUGUUCUGACGGUACCCAAAGAAUAAGCACCGGCUAACUUCGUG
rnacentral:rRNA from 1 species